rnacentral:rRNA from 1 species
GAUGAACGCUGGCGGCGUGCCUAAUACAUGCAAGUCGAGCGAACAGAUAAGGAGCUUGCUCCUUUGACGUUAGCGGCGGACGGGUGAGUAACACGUGGGUAACCUACCUAUAAGACUGGAAUAACUCCGGGAAACCGGGGCUAAUGCCGGAUAACAUUUAGAACCGCAUGGUUCUAAAGUGAAAGAUGGUUUUGCUAUCACUUAUAGAUGGACCCGCGCCGUAUUAGCUAGUUGGUAAGGUAACGGCUUACCAAGGCAACGAUACGUAGCCGACCUGAGAGGGUGAUCGGCCACACUGGAACUGAGACACGGUCCAGACUCCUACGGGAGGCAGCAGUAGGGAAUCUUCCGCAAUGGGCGAAAGCCUGACGGAGCAACGCCGCGUGAGUGAUGAAGGUCUUCGGAUCGUAAAACUCUGUUAUUAGGGAAGAACAAAUGUGUAAGUAACUGUGCACGUCUUGACGGUACCCAAUCAGAAAGCCACGGCUAACUACGUG